AGGGGAUUCGUUUAGUGGUAAGACACAACACUUUGAAUGUUGUAACGUAGGUUCAAUUCCUGCAUCCCCCACCA
rnacentral:tRNA from 1 species